AACGCACCUUGCACCCCUUGGUAUUCCGAGGGGUAUGCCUGUUUGAGUGUCAUGGUAUUCUCAACCCCCAAAUUCUUUAUUGAGUUCUGGCGGGCUUGGACUUGGAGGUUGUGCUGGCUUCGUUCAGCUCCUCUAAAAUAUAUUAGUGUGAAUCUUACGGAUCGCCUUCAGUGUGAUAAUUGUCUACGCUGUUUUCGUGAAGUAUAAAAUUGUAUUCAUGCUUCUAAUCGUCUUUCUAAUAAGACAAUUAACUCUUUGACAUCUGACCUCAAAUCAGGUAGGACUACCCGCUGAACUUAA
rnacentral:misc_RNA from 1 species